rnacentral:rRNA from 1 species
GAACGAACGCUGGCGGCAGGCCUAACACAUGCAAGUCGAGCGGACCCUUCGGGGUUAGCGGCGGACGGGUGAGUAACGCGUGGGAAUAUGCCCUUCUCUACGGAAUAGUCCUGGGAAACUGGGGGUAAUACCGUAUACGCCCUUUGGGGGAAAGAUUUAUCGGGGAAGGAUUAGCCCGCGUUGGAUUAGGUAGUUGGUGGGGUAAUGGCCUACCAAGCCGACGAUCCAUAGCUGGUUUGAGAGGAUGAUCAGCCACACUGGGACUGAGACACGGCCCAGACUCCUACGGGAGGCAGCAGUGGGGAAUCUUAGACAAUGGGGGCAACCCUGAUCUAGCCAUGCCGCGUGAGUGAUGAAGGCCUUAGGGUUGUAAAGCUCUUUCAGCUGGGAAGAUAAUGACGGUACCAGCAGAAGAAGCCCCGGCUAACUCCGUG